rnacentral:rRNA from 1 species
GACGAACGCUGGCGGCGUGCUUAACACAUGCAAGUCGAACGGAAAGGCCCUGCUUUUGUGGGGUGCUCGAGUGGCGAACGGGUGAGUAACACGUGAGUAACCUGCCCUUGACUUUGGGAUAACUUCAGGAAACUGGGGCUAAUACCGGAUAGGAGCUCCUGCUGCAUGGUGGGGGUUGGAAAGUUUCGGCGGUUGGGGAUGGACUCGCGGCUUAUCAGCUUGUUGGUGGGGUAGUGGCUUACCAAGGCUUUGACGGGUAGCCGGCCUGAGAGGGUGACCGGCAACAUUGGGACUGAGAUACGGCCCAGACUCCUACGGGAGGCAGCAGUGGGGAAUAUUGCACAAUGGGCGGAAGCCUGAUGCAGCAACGCCGCGUGCGGGAUGACGGCCUUCGGGUUGUAACCCGCUGUCGCCUGUGACGAAGAGUGAGUGACGGUAAUGGGUAAAGAAGCACCGGCUAACUACGUG